GGGGAAAAUUAGUGUGAAUUGCAAAUUCCGUGAACCAUCGAAUCUUUGAACGCAACUUGCGCCCGAGGCUCCGGCCGAGGGCUUGCCUGCCUCAGCGUCGGUUUACACCCCCUCGCCCCCACCCCCUUGUGGGUAGUGGGAGCGGACCUGGCACCCUCGGGCUGCUGUCGGAAACCCUCCGACUGCCGGCCCGGGUCUGCUGAAGUUCAGAGGCUUGAGCAUGGACCCCGUUUGCAGGGCACCGGCUUGGUAGGUAGGCGUCAGCCUGCACCCCGCCUGCCGGUACCCGAGGGGACUUUGCUGGGAGCCCGACCGGGAGCCGAUUCGUCGACCUCCCACCCUUCAAACCUUCGACCUGAGCUCAGGCAAGACUACCCGCUGAACUUAAGCAUAUCAAUAAGCGGAGGAACCAG
rnacentral:rRNA from 1 species